GCAUAUCAAUAAGCGGAGGAAAAGAAACCAACAGGGAUUGCCUCAGUAACGGCGAGUGAAGCGGCAACAGCUCAAAUUUGAAAUCUGGCUCCUUCGGAGUCCGAGUUGUAAUUUGUAGAAGAUGCUUCGGGUGUGGCCCCGGUCUAAGUUCCUUGGAACAGGACGUCACAGAGGGUGAGAAUCCCGUACGUGAUCGGGCGCCUACGCUCAUGUGAAGCUCUUUCGACGAGUCGAGUUGUUUGGGAAUGCAGCUCUAAAUGGGUGGUAAAUUUCAUCUAAAGCUAAAUAUUGGCCAGAGACCGAUAGCGCACAAGGAGACCGAUAGCGAACAAGUAGAGUGAUCGAAAGAUGAAAAGCACUUUGGAAAGAGAGUUAAACAGUACGUGAAAUUGUUGAAAGGGAAGCGCUUGCAACCAGACUUGCGCGUCGUUGAUCAUCUGGUGUUCUCACCGGUGCGCUCAGCGACGCUCAGGCCAGCAUCAGUUCUGGCGGCUGGAUAAAGGCCCUGGGAAUGUGGCUCCCUCCGGGGAGUGUUAUAGCCCAGGGUGCAAUGCAGCCUGCCGGGACUGAGGACCGCGCUUCGGCUAGGAUGCUGGCGUAAUGGUUGUAAGCGACCCGUCUUGAAACACGGACC
rnacentral:rRNA from 1 species